rnacentral:rRNA from 1 species
CGUGUAGGCGGUUCGGCAAGUCAGAGGUGAAAUGUCCCGGCUCAACCGGGGACCUGCCUUUGAAACUGCCGGACUUGAGGCCGUGAGAGGAAAUUGGAAUUCCUAGUGUAGCGGUGAAAUGCAUAGAUAUUAGGAAGAACACCAGUGGCGAAGGCGAGUCUCUGGCACGGUUCUGACGCUGAGGCGCGAAAGCUAGGGGAGCGAACG